rnacentral:lncRNA from 1 species
UAACCAUAAGGAAAUGCAUGUCAUCAAUUUCUCUUUCCCAAGCUAAGUAUGUUAAUGCACCAAUAUCCUCACCAAAGAAUGGAAUAUUUUCCCUAGCUUGUUUAUACAAAUUAUCCUCAAUCCUAUCAAACUCAUGAAAUGAACAAGUCUUCCUUCUAGCUUUAUCAUGUUCUCUUUUAAUUUCUUUAAGACUAAUGGGCUGAUCAAAAUUAAAGUUCCUAGAUGAACUAAAUGAACUAGA